ensembl:lncRNA
GUUGGACCCUGUCAGUGUCUCUAUGGUGGUGUUGGACCCUGUCAGUGUGUCUAUGGUGGUGUUGGAGACUGUCAGUGUCUCUAUGGUGGUGUUGGAGACUGUCAGUGUCUCUAUGGUGGUGUUGGAGACUGUCAGUGUCUCUAUGGUGGUGUUGGACCCUGUCAGUGUGUCUAUGGUGGUGUUGGAGACUGUCAGUGUCUCUAUGGUGGUGUUGGACCCUGUCAGUGUCUCUAUGGUGGUGUUGGACCCUGUCAGUGUCUCUAUGGUGGUGUUGGACCCUGUCAGUGUCUCUAUGGUGGUGUUGGAGACUGUCAGUGUCUCUAUGGUGGUGUCAUGUCCUCCCACCACCACCACCAUAUGGUGUGCCUGCCCCUUCCAGACUGUCUGUGUCUGUAUAGGGGCCCACACCGUGAACACACUGAAGCCACCUUAGAGGACAUGAUAGUUUAGCCGUCUGUCGGUGUCGCUACCCCCGUGUACAAACGGAGACAGAGCUGUGUCUCUCCAAGCAUGGGAACUUCUGACUCUUGAGACAGACUUUAGGAGGUCUGGCCGACUCGUAGGACAGACAUGAUUUUGUACGUAGUCUGGUGCAUUAGUGAAACACUUCUAGUGAGUAUGGGAUUGUUGUUCAUACAUACUGUUGUAUAUUUUUUUUAAAUGGAAUUGACCAAGCAGUAUAUCUACAGGUUACUUCCACAGCGGUAGUAUAAUUCAUAGGAUGGUUUGCAUGUUGGACUUAUUUGUCUUUGUUUUUAUUGAGCCAUUCCUGAAGUUCCAUGUUCGUUUUUUUUUUGUUUUUUUUUUUCUUUGUUUUUGAGAAUGGUGUGCUCUAAUUGGCUGUUGCAUGCAGAAUGUUGUUUUUUUCUACAGAUUCUACCCUGCAGCUUGGUGUUCAACUUCAACUGUCGUUUACUUGCCAUUGAUUUGAAACUGUUUUUAAAUACUGGUUCAGCUCACAGAUAUUAUUUCUUUAAUAGUUCUGCCUUUGAUCUUCGUGUGAUAUUGUGACGUUCGUGACUGGUAUGGUUUAGCCUUUUUUUUAAAAAGCGUUUUAAUACACUAUCCACCUGACAAUGUACUGAAUCAGCCUAUAGCCUAUUUGCAUAUGAUUUUAACUCUCUAGUGUGAUUUGCUGUAAGGCAGAAUGGAUUGUAUCUACCUCUACAAUUAUUUCAGUAAAAUGUUGUUGUUUUUGUAAAACAUUUGAUCAGAAACAUACAAUGCAAAUGAAACCCACCCCCUUGAUCUUUGUUGGAGUCAGGUUAUUAUUUUUUUUAACAAUUUAUUAUGUCUCCCAGGAGUUUAUUUGAGCAGAAAGUGUCGCA